rnacentral:misc_RNA from 1 species
GAAGUGCGAUAAGCAAUGCGAAUUGCAGAACCGUGAGUCAUCAGAUUUUUGAACGUAACUGGCGCCUAUUGGUAUUCCGAUAGGCAUGCUUGUUUCAGUAUCUUUUACCUCCUCACCCAAAUCCUAAUGCGAGAGAUGCCCUUCUCUCGUCAAGCAGGAAAGCACUCUGCUCUUUGCGAGCGACUUUCGGGUCGCACUCAAUGCAGCCGUCACAUUGCAAAAUGUGAACUCAUUGGGAGCGAAGGCAGUGCAGCGACUAACGAAGCUGCGAGUGCUUAGUCACCCAACCUUUCUUUGUAUCUGAAAUCAAGUAGGACCACCCGCUGAACUUAA